rnacentral:rRNA from 1 species
GACGAACGCUGGCGGCGUGCGCAAUACAUGCAAGUCGAGCGAGACUCUUCGGAGUCUAGCGGCGGACGGGUGAGUAACACGUGGGCAACCUGCCUGUAAGACUGGGAUAACACCGGGAAACCGGUGCUAAUACCGGAUAAUCCUUUUCCUCUCAUGAGGAAAAGCUGAAAGUCGGUUUCGGCUGACACUUACAGAUGGGCCCGCGGCGCAUUAGCUAGUUGGUGAGGUAACGGCUCACCAAGGCGACGAUGCGUAGCCGACCUGAGAGGGUGAUCGGCCACACGGGGACUGAGACACGGCCCAGACUCCUACGGGAGGCAGCAGUAGGGAAUCUUCCACAAUGGACGAAAGUCUGAUGGAGCAACGCCGCGUGAGCGAUGAAGGCCUUCGGGUCGUAAAGCUCUGUUGUUAGGGAAGAACAAGUACCGGAGUAACUGCCGGUACCUUGACGGUACCUAACCAGAAAGCCACGGCUAACUACGUGCCAGCCGCCGCCGUAAUAC